UACAGAGGGGGCAAGCGUUAUUCGGAAUUAUUGGGCGUAAAGGGCGCGUAGGCGGCUUGGCAAGUGGAAGGUGAAAUCCCUCGGCUUGACCGAGGAACUGCCCUCCAAACUGCUUGGCUUGAGACCGGGAGAGGUGAGUGGAAUUCCCAGUGUAGCGGUGAAAUGCGUAGAUAUUGGGAGGAACACCAGUGGCGAAGGCGGCUCACUGGACCGGUACUGACGCUGAUGCGCGAAAGCGUGGGGAGCAAACGGG
rnacentral:rRNA from 1 species